CACCCAAAAGAUGGCACACAGACAUGAAACAGCAAUUAGAAGCAGUGUGCAAAGCAGAUAAAACUGCCUUAAAAGCUGGAGAGAUUUUUUAAAAAGUAUUUCUUGGUGCUGAAAAGAUAACAGUGCAGAGACUGGUGUGCCUCCUGGAGAGAAAAUCUAAUGAUCAGACUGCCUUGACUGAAAAUUGCCCAAACCCUGGCUGCCACAGGCCCCUUAAAAUGUUGUGAGACACUUGGAAGGGAGCUUUGACCAGUGGCUUUGGCACACAUGCUGACUGACAGGUGCAAGCAUAAGAUGUCACAUUAGAGUACAAGCAGUCUGAGGCAGGAAAUUUCAGAAAGACAAUGGGGCUGCUGGCAGAAGGAUGGCUGGAGUCUCCAGCAUGAUUACAUAUACAGAAAAAAGGCCUACAACUCCCAUCUUUCAUCACCCAGACAUUGCAUCCUAAGCCUGUAAUCCAAUGUGCACUUAAUUGGAGAAACAUGCUUAUGGAUGUGGGCAAAUGCCAGAAUGAGAGUGGGUAGAGUGGUCCUCUGCCAUCCUUUACAGAGGACCCUCUCUUUGCAGACUGCCAGAAGACUGUCUGCAGUCUGAAGGCAUCCUGUUCUUUGAAAGCUUGCCCUGGCCAAUUCCAGGUUCAAGAUAAAGAAUAUUAAGAACUGUCACCCAUUAGCCGUGAGCACCUGGAGAGCAGAAUGACAGGCAGACACACAGUUUAACUUGUCACAGUGUGCUACAUUGAGAUUAGUUUUUAUGAUAUCUCUAUUUAAAUAAUGCUAAUCAUUUCUAAAUGUGUAUUGUUGCAGAUAAUUAGCAUGUGCAAGUUUUAUGCAGACCACAACCCAAUUUUGUCCUUUUCUUUGGUCAAUUCAUAAGCAGCUAUUCUUGGUUUGGGGAUAUACAUAAACAGGAUUGCUUUGUUUUAUCAGCACCCAUUUAGACUGUAGACUAAAAUAAAGUGUACAGACUUCAGUGAUGGAAGUGCCAAAUACUACUUUUUUCUGUGUGUUGAUCAAACACUCCCUGGACUUUGCAUCAGCUACCAAGAGGAAGAAUGAAUGAUUAAUUUCCUGUUUUACCAAAGCCAGGCUUUCCCAAGGAAGUUCUUAACCUUUAUUUUCUCAUAUAAUUUCUUCCCGUACCCCUUUUCUUUCUAUUGUUUUGAAAAAAAUAAGUUUUUGUAGCCAGUUACAACAGAAUUUCAGAAAUAACUCAUUGCAAAAAAACUUAGUUUUCAAGUAGGAUAUCAGAAUUUCUUUGAGUUAAAUGGAAAGUUCCUGUUGUAUGGAACCUUUGCACAUUAUUGAAGAAAUUGUGAACUACUUUCUGCAGGAGUAACUGGAAAACAUUUGUCCUCAGUAGCUCAGGCAGAUGCUUGCUUACCAGCAAGAGUAAAGUGCAUGGUGAAAAAGUGCACAGAAAUAUAGUUCAACUCUUCUGAAGAAAACACUUCAACAACAAAUGGAUGGGC